rnacentral:rRNA from 1 species
AUUGAACGCUGGCGGCAGGCCUAACACAUGCAAGUCGAGCGGAUGAGGGGUGCUUGCACUCCGAUUCAGCGGCGGACGGGUGAGUAAUGCCUAGGAAUCUGCCUGGUAGUGGGGGACAACGUUUCGAAAGGAACGCUAAUACCGCAUACGUCCUACGGGAGAAAGCAGGGGACCUUCGGGCCUUGCGCUAUCAGAUGAGCCUAGGUCGGAUUAGCUAGUUGGUGGGGUAAAGGCUCACCAAGGCGACGAUCCGUAACUGGUCUGAGAGGAUGAUCAGUCACACUGGAACUGAGACACGGUCCAGACUCCUACGGGAGGCAGCAGUGGGGAAUAUUGGACAAUGGGCGAAAGCCUGAUCCAGCCAUGCCGCGUGUGUGAAGAAGGUCUUCGGAUUGUAAAGCACUUUAAGUUGGGAGGAAGGGCAUUAACCUAAUACGUUAGUGUUUUGACGUUACCGACAGAAUAAGCACCGG